CAAAUUUUACAACAAAUCCUUAAACUAAUACAAAUUUACCAACACACAAAAUCAAUUCACUGCUACCACAAAAUAUCUUGGUAUCUCCUUCUUCUUCUUCUUCUUCUUCUUUUUUUUUUUUUGCGGGGUUUAAUCAUAUUCUCAAUCAAUCACAUAACAGAACAAGCAGCAGGGUUUUCGUCGCUGAAAGCUGUGGUGUACCUAACUUCAGUGGAGCUAGCACGUGCGAGAUGCGACACUUGCGGGUCCUCCGCGUUGCGGACGUACCCAGCCGGAGCCUUCUUAUCGUAAACCCCGGGGGCGUAUGGGU
rnacentral:lncRNA from 1 species